rnacentral:rRNA from 1 species
ACAGCAGUCGCCGCGGUAAUACAGAGGGUGCGAGCGUUAAUCGGAUUUACUGGGCGUAAAGCGUGCGUAGGCGGCUUUUUAAGUCGGAUGUGAAAUCCCUGAGCUUAACUUAGGAAUUGCAUUCGAUACUGGGAAGCUAGAGUAUGGGAGAGGAUGGUAGAAUUCCAGGUGUAGCGGUGAAAUGCGUAGAGAUCUGGAGGAAUACCGAUGGCGAAGGCAGCCAUCUGGCCUAAUACUGACGCUGAGGUGCGAAAGCGUGGGGAGCAAACAGGAUUGAGACCCCCGUAGUCCCUGUCUCUUAUACA